rnacentral:rRNA from 1 species
UACGAAGGGGGCUAGCGUUGUUCGGAAUCACUGGGCGUAAAGGGCGCGUAGGCGGCCGAUCAAGUCGGGGGUGAAAGCCUGUGGCUUAACCACAGAAUGGCCUCGAUACUGUUUGGCUUGAGACCGGAAGAGGUUAGUGGAACUGCGAGUGUAGAGGUGAAAUUCGUAGAUAUUCGCAAGAACACCAGUGGCGAAGGCGGCUGACUGGUCCGGUUCUGACGCUGAGGCGCGAAAGCUAGGGGAGCAAACGGG